rnacentral:lncRNA from 1 species
AGUGAGCCGAGGAGCCUUCAUAGGGACAGCCGCCCCUGGUGCACACACCCUCGUAUUCUCCUGCCCUUCCCCAGGGAGCUUUUGGAAGAGUCCCAGAUGGAAGCGACCAGGCUCCGGCAGAAGGCAGAGGAGCUAGUGAAGGACAACGAGCUGCUCCCACCACCUUCUCCCUCCUUGGGCUCCUUCGACCCCCUGGCUGAGCUCACA